UAACUGGUUGAUCCUGCCAGUAGUCAUAUGCUUCUUUCAAGGACUAAGCCAUGCAAAUGUCAGUGGACUCGGGGAUACUCGGGGGGACUGUGUACGGCUCAUUAAACGGUUAAUAGUCUACCCAACAGAGGGGGCAUCCGUGCUCUCCGACGGGAUAACCGCCCUAACCGGGCAGCUAAUACCUGGAAGACAAAAAGGAUCCUUGACCAUCGAACCACAUUCGGGGUAAAACCCGGGAGUGGGGUGAAGGAUGCUAUUGGCCGGAACAAAGACCAACGCCAUCAGCAAUGGUGGCAGAUGCAAUUGUUGACACAGGCCAAUGUAGCAGAAGCGUCAUGGGCUAGUACCUCAUGAUGCGGUGUUGGACGAAUUCACCACCUAUCAGGUAGAAGGUAGUGUAGUGGACUACCUUGCCUCUGACGGGUAACGGGGGAUUGGGGUUCGAUUCCGGAGAGGGUGCCUGAGAAAUGGCAACCAUGACUACGGUCAGCAGCAGGCGCGCAAAUUGCCCAAUGCAGACGAUGCGAGGCAGCGACGAAAAAUAGUACUUCUGAUGUCCAAUUCGGACUUCAGAUUGCAAUGGAUUGUAUCUAAUACACACUGCUGAGUAGCAAUUGGAGGGCAAGUCUGGUGCCAGCAGCCGCGGUAAUUCCAGCUCCAAGAGCGUAUAUAAAUGUUGUUGCGGUUAAAAAGCCCGUAGUUGGAUUUGAGAGCAAGGCUUGUGAUGGCUACUUCAGUCUUGAGUCGUGUCAGAGGUCUUCGGAUUGAUGGCAAGGGUUUAGGAGUGGAGGAUCAUAGGCAUCACAUAUGGGCCUUGGUCUGAGACAUGCGGGAUUGUCCACUGGCUCUUUAGACACAUUCAUUUGUGUGUGAGAGAGCAUCCUUCGGAGCCUCUGAUUACAUCAAUCACACUCCAUAAGGUGCGCCCGCAGACGUCACUGUGAGUAAACCAGAGUGUUCAAGGCAACCAUCAAUUUGCGUGGUUGAAUGUUAAAGCAUGGAAUGACAAGGGAUCGACCUGGAGGGCCUCUUUUUGUUGGUAAAAUCCUUUAAGCCUUUCAAUGGGGAAUCGAUGGUCACAUGAGUCGGGCGGCGGGGGCGGUAGGGGUCGGUGUAGCUAUCAUGGUUGCAGUGGCUUCUCCCCUUUUUUCAUUCGGCUUGUGGGAUCAACACACGGGAUCAAUAGGAGCACAGGGGGCCAUGAGUACUGGCAGGCUAGUGGUGAAAUACUGUGACCCUGCCAAGACUGACAUCAGCGAAAGCACUUGGCAAUUGUGCUUUCAUUAAUCAAGGACGAGAGAUCGGGGAUUGAAGAGGAUUAGACACCCUCGUAAUCCGUUCUGUAAAUUCUGCAGACUUGGGAUCGGUCAGCGAUCUGAUAACCAAUAGACCUGAUCGGCACCUUCCUCCUAUUAUCGAGAAAUCAUUAAGUCUAUGUGUUCCGGGGGGAGUACAUUCGCAAGGCUGAAACUUAAAGGAAUUGACGGAGAACCACCACCAGUCGUGGAGUGUGUGGCUUAAUUCGACUCAACACGGGAAAUUUUACCAGGCCAGGACGUGGUAAGGAUUGCCAGAUUGAAAGCUCUUGCAUGAUUCCGCGAAGGGUGGUGCAUGGCCGCUUCUGGUUGGUGAAGUGAUUUGUCUGCUUAAUUGCGUUAACGAACGAGAUCUCUGCCAAUUACUAGAUGCAUGCCUCGUGGAUCUGCUCAAGUAGGCCGUCGACCGCAAUCAGGUUCUUCACGGAGUCUGGUUUGUGUAUAAAGGGUCCCCACCCGUCGGCGGCUGAGAGGCAUGAAGCGUUUACUUAUUGGGAUUAUGCAGCUACUAACUGCAUUGAAACAAGAGCCCAAAGCAGGUCUGUGAUGCUCCUAUAUGUUCUGGGCUGCACGCGCACUACACUGAUUCAGCCAACGAGCUUCUGCUUUACAAAAACAGGGUUUCCCGGAGUCUUCACGGGCAAAGGGGCGCUCUUUUUCGCCAAAAGCAGCCUGGUCCGAAGGGAUUGGGGAAUCUUAUGAGCCUGAGUCGUGAUGGGGAUUGAUGCAUUGUAAUUAUUCUCCAUGAACGAGGAAUGUCUUGUAUCCGCGUUUCAUCAGAACGCAGAGAAUACGUCCCUGGUUCUUGUACACACCGCCCGUCGUUGCCUGUGAUGGAUUGUGAGUAGAGACCUCUGGAGGUGGGGUUCCGGGGCGACUCGGGAUUCUUUUUGGAUGAAUAAUCCAAGCCGAAAUUGAGCAAUACUCCCAAUCUAGAAGAGGCAAAAGUCGUAACAAGGUACUUGUAGUGAACCUGCAGAAGGAUCA
rnacentral:rRNA from 1 species